UGUGUCAAACCAAAUCUCGCACAAGUUGGCCUCGGCAAGGCUCGGUGAUGCAAUAACAGCGUUGGCACGUCUAUAUGAGAAAAUAAAAAAUCUGAUCGUCACAGGGCCAGACAAAGGACGCGCAAGAAGCAUCUGACGGCAGCAUGAACUGGAGGCAGACUCGAAAAAAAAGAUAGGUAGCAUCUAGAGCAGGACCGUAGAGUUAAUCGAAGACAACAGACUAUAUAGAUCAAUUGGUGGUGGUCCUCAAACUAAAAAUGAGUAUCUGCCUAGGGCCACAUUGACCACAUGCGCCCCAGGAGUAUCUGCCUAGGGCCACAUUGACCACAUGCGCCCCAGGAGUAUCUGCCUAGGGCCACAUUGACUACAUGCGCCCCAGGAGUAUCUGCCUAGGGCCACAUUGACCACAUGCGCCCCAGGAGUAUCUGCCUAGGGCCACAUUGACCACAUGCGCUGCACACAUCUCUUUCCCUUUCAUUGUUCGCAAUAAAGCUCUGGCCUCACGAUGAACUGGCGCGGAUAUCGGAACAUGAUGGAGGAGAAAGCCCUCCCCGAAGACUC
rnacentral:sRNA from 1 species